AGCGAACGCUGGCGGCAGGCUUAACACAUGCAAGUCGAGCGCCCGGAGCAAUCCGGGAGCGGCAGACGGGAGAGUAACACGUGGGAACGUACCCUUUGGUUCGGAAUAAUCCAGGGAAACUUGGACUAAUACCGGAUAAGCCCUUACGGGGAAAGAUUUAUCGCCAAAGGAUCGGCCCGCGUCUGAUUAGCUAGUUGGUGAGGUAACGGCUCACCAAGGCGACGAUCAGUAGCUGGUCUGAGAGGAUGAUCAGCCUCACUGGGACUGAGACACGGCCCCGACUCCUUCGGGAGGCAGCAAUGAGGGAUAUUGCACAAUGGGGGAAACCCUGAUGCAGCGACGCCGCGUGGGUGAGGAAGUCC
rnacentral:rRNA from 1 species